rnacentral:tRNA from 1 species
ACCCGGCUGGCUUAGUUGGCAGAGCAUGUGACUCUUGAUCCCAGAGCUGUGGCUUCAAGCCCCACACUGGGUG